rnacentral:rRNA from 1 species
AGCGAACGCUGGCGGCAGGCCUAACACAUGCCAGUCGAACGAACCUUUCGGGGUUAGUGGCGGACGGGUGAGUAACACGUGGGAACGUGCCUUUAGGUUCGGAAUAACUCAGGGAAACUUGUGCUAAUACCGAAUGUGCCCUUCGGGGGAAAGAUUUAUCGCCUUUAGAGCGGCCCGCGUCUGAUUAGCUAGUUGGUUGAGGUAAUGGCUCACCAAGGCGACGAUCAGUAGCUGGUCUGAGAGGAUGAUCAGCCACAUUGGGACUGAGACACGGCCCAAACUCCUACGGGAGGCAGCAGUGGGGAAUCUUGCGCAAUGGGCGAAAGCCUGACGCAGCCAUGCCGCGUGAAUGAUGAAGGUCUUAGGAUUGUAGAAUUCUUUCACCGGGGACGAUAAUGACGGUACCCGGAGAAGAAGCCCCGGCUAACUUCGUG